CCUACGGGAGGCAGCAGUGAGGAAUAUUGGUCAAUGGGCGCGAGCCUGAACCAGCCAAGUAGCGUGAAGGAUGACUGCCCUACGGGUUGUAAACUUCUUUUGUAAAGGAAUAAAGUGAGGCACGUGUGCCUGUUUGUAAGUACUUUAUGAAUAAGGAUCGGCUAACUCCGUGCCAGCAGCCGCGGUAAUACGGAGGAUCCGAGCGUUAUCCGGAUUUAUUGGGUUUAAAGGGAGCGUAGGUGGGUUGGUAAGUCAGUGGUGAAAUCUUGCGGCUCAACCGCAAAAUUGCAAUUGAUACUGGCAGGCUUGAGUAUAGUUGCGGUAGGCGGAAUGCGUGGUGUAGCGGUGAAAUGCUUAGAUAUCACGAAGAACUCCGAUUGCGAAGGCAGCUUACUAAACUGCGACUGACAUUGAGGCACGAAAGUGUGGGUAGCAAACAGGAUUAGAUACCCUUGUAGUC
rnacentral:rRNA from 1 species